ACUACUAUCUGCUGUGAUUCAAGGGAUUAAAACCCUUUUUAAUCUGUAACACAUCCCACUGGUAUCUCAUCGAAGCCAUACAUUAAGCCUAACUCACACAUUUCUCAUCAAGAAACAUAAAACAGGAUUCAUGUACAAGGGAUUAAUCACACGUCACACUAUAGCAAUGACACUAGGGAAAGCAUAAGUCUAUCCAGUAUAUGACA
rnacentral:lncRNA from 1 species